AACGAACGCUGGCGGCAGGCUGUACACAUGCAAGUCGAACGCAGCCUUCGGGGUCAGUGGCAGACGGGUGAGGAACGCGUGGGGGCGGGCCCUUCAGUUCGGGAUAACCCAGGGAAACUUGGGCUAAUACCGGAUACGUGCGGACGCAGAAAGAAUUAUCGCCGGAGGAUCGGCCCGCGUCUGAUUAGCUGGUUGGUGGGGUAAUGGCCCACCAAGGCGACGAUCAGUAGCCGGUCUGAGAGGAUGAUCAGCCACAUUGGGACUGAGACACGGCCCAAACUCCUACGGGAGGCAGCAGUGGGGAAUAUUGGACAAUGGGCGCAAGCCUGAUCCAGCCAUGCCGCGUGAGUGAUGAAGGCCUUAGGGUUGUAAAGCUCUUUCGUCCGGGACGAUAAUGACGGUACCGGAAGAAGAAGCCCCGGCUAACUUCGUGCCAGCCGCCGCGGUAA
rnacentral:rRNA from 1 species